rnacentral:hammerhead_ribozyme from 1 species
ACUCAACUGAUGAGUCCCAAAUAAGGCGAAAAGCGCGUCCUGGAU